UCUCUUGUAGCUUAGUACUCGGAGCAUUGGUGCGUAAAGCCUAAGGUCUCGGGUUCUAUUCCCGGCGAGAGUG
rnacentral:tRNA from 1 species